rnacentral:rRNA from 1 species
UGCAGUCGAACGAACCUUCGGGUUAGUGGCGGACGGGUGAGUAACGCGUGAGAAUCUGCCCUCAGGAGGGGGAUAACGGUUGGAAACGACCGCUAAUACCCCAUAUGCCUAUUGGUGAAAUGAAUUUCGCCUGAGGAUGAGCUCGCGUCUGAUUAGCUAGUUGGUGAGGUAAUGGCUCACCAAGGCUUCGAUCAGUAGCUGGUCUGAGAGGAUGAUCAGCCACACUGGGACUGAGACACGGCCCAGACUCCUACGGGAGGCAGCAGUGGGGAAUUUUCCGCAAUGGGCGAAAGCCUGACGGAGCAACGCCGCGUGAGGGACGAAGGCCUCUGGGCUGUAAACCUCUUUUCUCAAGGAAGAAGAUAUGACGGUACUUGAGGAAUAAGCCACGGCUAAUUCCGUGCCAGCAGCCGCGGUAAUACGGGAGUGGCAAGCGUUAUCCGGAAUUAUUGGGCGUAAAGCGUCCGCAGGCGGCUUUUCAAGUCUGCUGUUAAAGCGUGGAGCUUAACUCCAUCAUGGCAGUGGAAACUGAAAGGCUUGAGUAUGGUAGGGGCAGAGGGAAUUCCCGGUGUAGCGGUGAAAUGCGUAGAUAUCGGGAAGAACACCAGUGGCGAAGGCGCUCUGCUGGGCCAUUACUGACGCUCAUGGACGAAAGCCAGGGGAGCGAAAGGGAUUAGAUACCCCUGUAGUCCUGGCCGUAAACGAUGAACACUAGGUGUCGGGGGAAUCGACCCCUUCGGUGUCGUAGCUAACGCGUUAAGUGUUCCGCCUGGGGGAGUACGCACGCAAGUGUGAAACUCAAAGGAAUUGACGGGGGCCCGCACAAGCGGUGGAGUAUGUGGUUUAAUUCGAUGCAACGCGAAGAACCUUACCAGGGUUUGACAUCCUGCGAACCUCUUAGAAAUUUGAGGUGCCUUCGGGAAUGCAGUGACAGG